rnacentral:tRNA from 1 species
AGGGCACUAGCUCAACUGGUAGAGCAUCGGUCUCCAAAACCGAAGGUUGGGGGUUCAAGCCCCUCGUGCCCUG